AUGUUUUAUUCAGCUUUGAACCCAUCAGUUAUUUCUGGGCUCCUAAACGCAAUUGAGCACCUCGUUGGGACUAACUUUCUUACAUGGAAGGAGCAGAUUUCCAUUAACCUUGGGGUCAUGGAUCUUGACUACACACUUAGGGAGAAGGCUCCAGUUCCCUUGUCCUCUGAUGAUGAAAACCUUGCUGAGAGAACUAAGGUUUAUGAGGCUAACAAGAAGAAGUGGGAGUGCUCCAAUCGAUUGUCCCUCAUGAUCAUGAAAAGCACAAUUACUCUUGGGAUUAGGGGAGCUAUCCCCGAUUCCGAAUGUGCUAAGACUUAUCUGGCAUCGGUGGAGGAACAAUUUAAAGGCUCCACAAAAGUCUAUGCCAGUACUCUGAUCAUGAAAAUGCUCACCACUAAGUAUGAUGGUGCAAGCGGUGUGAGAGAACAUAUCAUGACUAUGAACGAUAUGCCGCAAAAUUAA
rnacentral:rRNA from 1 species